rnacentral:lncRNA from 1 species
GUUUAGGGGGUGGAGCUGCGGGAAAGCGGUGCCCUGAUGCGACGACCGCAGCCGGAAGAGUGGGCCCGAGGGGCCCAAGUAACGAAGGGCGGAGCUUUGGGUAAGCCUGGAAGGUGGAGCUAAACUAGGGAUGAAGCUACAGCUGGGAAAGCGCACCACAGUGCUGCAGGGUAAGGGCGGGACUUAGGAACGUAAGGGGCGGGGCUUCCGCUGAAAUGUGAGACUGAAGGGUGACGAGGCGUGGCCCUAAUGAGGGAACUGAGUUUGGGGAGGUUCCAGUGCAUUCCAGUAAAACUGUAGGACUCAGAUUGGCAGCGCUGGACUACAAGGUUACCGGUAGCUGAUUGGAAGACGGUAUCAAAACACACAGCCCAUUGAAUAUGACUGACACCUCAAGUGUGAUCGUGGGAAAUUCUUCUUUGGGUUCUUCAAUUGUAAACCUGGAACUCGAAAAUUCUGUCAGUUCCUGGGGGUUUCAGAGAAUUUGGAUGUCAGGGAUCAUCAUUGUCAAGCAGUGCUUGUAGUUUUGUCACUGAAGAGUAUGAUAGUCUUCCAAGAUGCUAGAGUCACUGAGAACGCGGUUUAUUUUCAUGCGGACUUGGUAUUCAGCUCCCUAAAGUGCACGUUUUCUUAUGACACGUUUCCCCCGAGAAAUGCCAAUAAAACCAGCACUCCAAGUUGUUUCCUGGUCAAAAGGGGGGGUCUGGCGUAAAAUCGGUGGUUUCUAUAAAGAAAUGGCUUAUUGCAGCGGAGUUUCUCAUUAUUAAAUGGGGAUAAUAUAUAGUCCCUCUGUCCCGGGGUUAUGAUAAGGAUUAAGAGAGUUGAAGACUGUAAAUUGCCUAAUACAGUGUCUGUUGUAUAAGAUUCGCAUGCACAAAGAAAAUACAAGCUAUUAUACUCAUCCAGAAAAUUCAGAAUAAACCAGUAAUCGCAGCACUCAAGAGGAUUGAAUUAGGAUUGCUCCAACUGCUUAUGAGUUCCAGGUCAGGCUGAGCCAUACAGCAAGACCCUAUCUAAACAAAACAACCAAAAUAAAUGAAUCAAAGAAGU